CGCGCAGGCGGAUUAGCAAGUCAGAGGUGAAAUCCUACAGCUUAACUGUAGAACUGCCUUUGAAACUGUUAGUCUUGAGUACGGAAGAGAGAAGCGGAAUUCCAGGUGUAGUGGUGAAAUACGUAGAUAUCUGGAAGAACACCAGUUGCGAAGGCGGCUUCUUGGUCCGUUACUGACGCUGAGGCGCGAAAGCGUGGGGAGCAAACA
rnacentral:rRNA from 1 species